GGUGCAGGGUGAUUUUUCUCUCCGUUUAUGCAAAAGAGACUCUUCGUCUUUUACAACUCUGAUGGACUUGUAUAUAAAUAGCUGUGUGUGCAGCAGAAUUCAACCCAGAAGCCUUAAGCAAAGUCAGCAGUGGUAGGACUUUUCGAGCCCAAGUUAGAAACCACAUGGAGCUUAAUCAUUAAUCACCAGUCUUUAAUUAACAGCUCUGAGCUUUGAACAAAAGGCACUUACCGCAAGGCUGCUGAGGAGCCCUGAAACUCUUUGGUGUGUUUUCAUUUGGAGCACCCAGUGGUCUUCAGAAGAGAAGCUGAUAGAGCAGCAACCCUUUGUGUCAAGGGUCAAGAUAAUAAGGAAGAGCAGAUGUUUGUGGCCUUUUCUAGCCUGGCAGCAGUUUCAAGCUGACUCAACAUGUACAAGCUGCCAGGUCUCCAAAGCAAGAAACCUACUUCAGCAGUGACUCGUUGAGAACAGGAAUCCAGGCGAUGUUUGCUGUUACCAGCUUUGCACAGAUGGACUAUUGAGACGGAAUGAUCAUGGCUUGCCAAAUUCAUGGUAGAGGCAAGAUCAAAACCUGUGACAUUUGGGUCCACAGCAUGCUCCUAACCAUGUCUACUCAGAGAGAAGCAAGAUCCAGUUGGUAAACUCUGCAGCUCGAGGACAACUUUUCUUGCCAAGCAUGCAUUACCAAAGACUAAUUGUUAGCAUGGUGCACCUGCCUGCUCCCCUGGUGGAAAAGAAGCACAGAGCAUCUGAGGUGAAGAAGACACCC